rnacentral:rRNA from 1 species
UACGGAGGGUGCAAGCGUUACUCGGAAUCACUGGGCGUAAAGAGCGCGUAGGCGGGAUAGCAAGUCAGAUGUGAAAUCCUAUGGCUUAACCAUAGAACUGCAUUUGAAACUGUUAUUCUAGAGUAUGGGAGAGGUAGGUGGAAUUCUUGGUGUAGGGGUAAAAUCCGUAGAGAUCAAGAGGAAUACUCAUUGCGAAGGCGACCUGCUAGAACAUAACUGACGCUGAUGCGCGAAAGCGUGGGGAG